rnacentral:lncRNA from 1 species
GGGGCAGAAUGGGGACCUCCGCGCCUGUAGGGGGCGCUGCAGCCGCAGCCCUCCGCCUUCAGGUGCUGUAUGUGCUCUGCCAGGACCCAAAAUGCCACUUUUUCGACCCAAAAUGACCCAAAAUGCCACUUUUUGGACCCCAAAAUCCCACCUUUUGGACCCUAAAUGGGGAUGGCUCCCAUAGGGGGAUACAGUGGGAGGAGGGAGCGAUGGGGAGAGGGGGGGGGGGGGGGAGAUAUUGGGAUGGAAAUGGGGCAGAACUGGGGGGAAAUGGGGGUCAGAAUGGACAGCAAAGGGGAAUAUUGGGGUGAAAUUGGGGGAAAUGGGGGAAAAAUGGGUGAAAAAUGGGCAGAAAUGGGGGGAAAAUGGGCAGAAAUUGGGGGCAAAUUGGGGCAGAAUGGGGCAGAAUGGGGACCUCCGCGCCUGUAGGGGGCGCUGCAGCCGCAGCCCUCCGCCUUCAGGUGCUCCACGUACUCUGCCAGGACCCAAAAUGCCCCUUUUUCGACCCAAAAUGACCCAAAAUGCCACUUUUUGGACCCCAAAAUCCCACCUUUUGGACCCUAAAUGGGGAUGGGUCCCAUAGGGGGAUACAGUGGGAGGAGGGAGUGGGGUGGAAGUGGGGGGGGGAUGGGGCAAAACUGGGGGGAAAUGGGGCAGAAUUGGGGGGAAAUGGGGGUCAGAAUGGACAGCAGAGAGGAAUAUUGGGGUGAAAUUGGGGGAAAUGGGGGAAAAAUGGGUGAAAAAAUGGGCAGAAAUGGGCAGAAAUGGGGGGAAAAUGGGGCAGAAAUGGGCGAAAUAGGGGCAGAAUUGGGCAAAAAAGGGCCAAAAGAGGUGGGAAUUGGGGAAAAUGGGCAGAAAUGGGGCAAAAUGGAGGGGAAAUGGGGCAAAAUUGGGGGCAAAAUUCCCCCCAUUUCCCCCCCAAUUUCCCCCAAUUCCCCAUUUCCCCC